rnacentral:rRNA from 1 species
GGGCCUGCACAAGCGGUGGAGUAUGUGGCUUAAUUCGAUGCAACGCGAAGAACCUUACCUGGCCUUGACAUGCAUCUCUAAGUGUGUGAAAGCACAUGACCCCUCGGGGAAUUUGCACAGGUGCUGCAUGGCUGUCGUCAGCUCGUGUCGUGAGAUGUUGGGUUAAGUCCCGCAACGAGCGCAACCCUUAUGUUUUGUUGCCACUUUCGCUUCGGCGGAAAGCACUCUAAACAGACUGCCUCGUCUCAACGAGGAGGAAGGUGGGGAUGACGUCAAGUCAGUAUGGCCCUUACGGCCAGGGCUGCACACGUACUACAAUGGCCGGUACAGAGGGCUGCGAGACCGCGAGGUUGAGCGAAUCCCAUAAAGCCGGUCUCAGUUCGGAUUGGAGUCUGCAACUCGACUCCAUGAAGUUGGAGUCGCUAGUAAUCCC